rnacentral:rRNA from 1 species
CACCAGCCCCUCGAGUGGUGGGGAUGAUUAUUUGGCCUAAAGCGUCCGUAGCCGGCCGGGUAAGUUUCCCGUUAAAUUCAGCGUCUCAAGCGUUGGACUGCGGGAAAUACUGCCUGGCUAGAGAGUGGGAGAGGUCAGCGGUAUUCUGGGGGUAGGGGCGAAAUCCUUUGAUCCCCGGAGGACCACCAGUGGCGAAGGCUGCUGACUAGAACACGUCUGACGGUCAGGGACGAAAGCUGGGGUAGCGAACCGGACUAGAUACCCGGGUAGUCCCAGCCGUAAACGAUGCAUGCUAGGUGUUGGGUUGGCCACGAGCCACCCCAGUCGCCGCAGGGAAGCCGUUAAGCAUGCCGCCUGGGAAGUACGAUCGCAAGAUUGAAACUUAAAGGAAUUGGCGGGGAGCACCACCGAGGCGUGAAGCCUGCGGUUU